rnacentral:rRNA from 1 species
UACGAAGGGCGCGAGCGUUGUCCGGAUUUAUUGGGCGUAAAGAGCUCGUAGGCGGCUCAUCGCGUCUGCCGUGAAAACCUGUGGCUCAACUACAGGCUUGCGGUUGAUACGGGUGGGCUGGAGUUCGGUAGGGGAGACUGGAAUUCCUGGUGUAGCGGUGAAAUGCGCAGAUAUCAGGAAGAACACCCGUGGCGAAGGCGGCUCUCUGGGACGGUACUGACGCUGAGACGCGAAAGCGUGGGGAGCGAACAGG